UACGAAGGUGGCAAGCGUUACUCGGAAUUACUAGGCGUAAAGGGCAGGUAGGUGGUCUGAUAAGUCUGUUGUGUAAGCUCCCGGCUUAACUGGGAGAGGUCAACGGAAACUGUCGGGCUUGAGUAUGGGAGAGGGUACUGGAAUUCCCGGUGUAGCGGUGAAAUGCGUAGAUAUCUGGAGGAACACCGGUGGCGAAGGCGGCAUCCUGGACCGAUACUGACGCUGAGGAGCGAAAGCCAGGGGAGCAAACGGG
rnacentral:rRNA from 1 species